UGGGGAAUUUUGGACAAUGGGCGAAAGCCUGAUCCAGCAAUGCCGCGUGUGUGAAGAAGGCCUUCGGGUUGUAAAGCACUUUUGUCCGGAAAGAAAUCCUUGGCUCUAAUACAGUCGGGGGAUGACGGUACCGGAAGAAUAAGCACCGGCUAACUACGUGCCAGCAGCCGCGGUAAUACGUAGGGUGCAAGCGUUAAUCGGAAUUACUGGGCGUAAAGCGUGCGCAGGCGGUUUGCUAAGACCGAUGUGAAAUCCCCGGGCUCAACCUGGGAACUGCGUUGGUGACUGGCAGGCUAGAGUAUGGCAGAGGGGGGUGAGAAUUCCACGUGUAGCAGUGAAAUGCGUAGAGAUGUGGAGGAAUACCGAUGGCGAAGGCAGCCCCUCGGCAAGUACUGACGCUCAUGCACGAAAAGCGUGGGGAGCAAACAGGAUUAGAUACCCUGGUAGUCCACGCCCUAAAACGAUGUCAACUAGUUGUUGGGGGAUUCAUUUCCUUAGUAACGUAGCUAACGCGUGAAGUUGACCGCCUGGGGGAGUACGGUCGCAAAGAUUAAAAACUCAAAAGGAAUUGACGGGGGUCAUAGCUGUUUCCU
rnacentral:rRNA from 1 species